rfam:Lepisosteus oculatus linkage group LG10, whole genome shotgun sequence.
GCCAGCAGCCAUAUCACUCUGCAACUCACAACUGGCAACCCACUGAAGCUAAGCAGGUAUGAGCCUUGUCAGUACCUGGGUGGGAGACCUCCUGGGAAAAACUAAGGUUGCUGCUGGAA